GGUAACGUGGCCGAGCGGUCCAAGGCGCUAGUUUCAGGUACUAGUCUCGCAAGAGGCGUGAGUUCGAAUCUCACCGUUGCCA
rnacentral:tRNA from 1 species